rnacentral:ncRNA from 2 species
AGGCGAUGGAUCAUCCGAGCCUUCCUCCUACGUCCGCUGAGGAUAUGGAGGGUGGCCGAUACGGUGCGGUUGGAAACGACCACGCCCCCCGUGCUUGGAAAGGAGGUCCACCAGGAGGGAU